GAUGAAGAACGUAGUGAAAUGCGAUAAGUAAUGCGAAUUGCAGAAUUCAGUGAAUCAUCGAAUCUUUGAACGCACAUUGCGCCCGCUAGUAUUCUGGCGGGCAUGCCUGUCUGAGCGUCAUUUCAACCCUCGCCCCCGGCUUUUGCUGGGAGCGGUGUUGGGGAUCGGCCGCCCGUCACUGGGAGGCCGGCCCCGAAAUAGAGUGGCGACCACGCCGUGUGCUCCUCUGCGUAGUAGUAAAUCACCUCGCAGGCGGACAGCGGUGCGGCCUGCCGUAAAACCCCCAACUCUUUCUGGUUGACCUCAGACCAGGUAGGAAUACCCGCUGAACUUAAGCAUAUCAAUAAGCGGAGGA
rnacentral:misc_RNA from 1 species